AACGAACGCUGGCGGCAGGCCUAACACAUGCAAGUCGAUCGCUGUCUUCGGACAGAGAGGCGCACGGGUGAGUAACACGUGGGAACAUACCCUUGAGUGCGGAAUAACUAUUGGAAACGAUAGCUAAUACCGCAUACGCCCUACGGGGGAAAGAUUUAUCGCUCAAGGAUUGGCCCGCGUCCGAUUAGCUAGUUGGCGGGGUAGCGGCCCACCAAGGCGACGAUCGGUAGCUGGUUUGAGAGAAUGAUCAGCCACACUGGGACUGAGACACGGCCCAGACUCCUACGGGAGGCAGCAGUGGGGAAUAUUGGACAAUGGGCGCAAGCCUGAUCCAGCCAUGCCGCGUGAGUGAAGAAGGCCUUCGGGUUGUAAAGCUCUUUCAGACGUGACGAUGAUGACGGUAGCGUCAGAAGAAGCCCCGGCUAACUUCGUGCCAGCCGCCGCCGUAA
rnacentral:rRNA from 1 species